rnacentral:tRNA from 1 species
GCCUCUGUAGCUCAGUUGGUUGGAGCGCUGCACCGGAAUCGCAGGGCCGCAGGUUCGAUUCCUGCCAGGGACA